UACGAAGUGGGCUAGCGUUGCUCGGAAUCACUGGGCGUAAAGCGCACGUAGGCGGAUUGUUAAGUCAGGGGUGAAAUCCUGGAGCUCAACUCCAGAACUGCCUUUGAUACUGGCGAUCUCGAGUCCGGGAGAGGUGAGUGGAACUGCGAGUGUAGAGGUGAAAUUCGUAGAUAUUCGCAAGAACACCAGUGGCGAAGGCGGCUCACUGGCCCGGUACUGACGCUGAGGUGCGAAAGCGUGGGGAGCAAACAGG
rnacentral:rRNA from 1 species